GGAAAUGGUUGCAAUUGUUUUUCCACCAUUCAUUCAUUUUUCCCAUAGGGGAUUUUACAAACACUUAAAAUAAGAGCUGUGUUGUGUAGGCUUACCCUGGCGUGGCGUUUUGAUAACAAUCUAAAUCUGUCAAGGACAAGGUGACUCCCUGUUUGACCGUUAGGUUUAUGGGUAUUAUGACACUUCCACUGUGGGGCUCUAUAUACCGUAGGCUGUAUUGCAAUAAAACAUUUUUUUUAAAUCUUAUUUUCUGGUGUUCCUAAAUGGCAUGUGGUGCUCUUACAUUUUAGUUGGGAGCACCAGUAGAGGGAGUCAUGAAAUGCAUCAGGCUCACAGGCUGGAAUGUUACUACCCAGCUGCUAAUUGGGGUCUGAAGAGGCAGGAGACGUGAGCAAGACCACCUCUUGUGCUAAUAAGGACAUAACCCAGAACAGGAGGGUGACACAUAGGAGCUCCUCUCUAUAGCAUACACAUACUGCAUGGAUCUCAUGUGGAUGGGGAACUGUCUUACCCAGAGCAUUGAUGCAGCUUUCCUCAGCUCCAAGAUGUCUCGCACUUCAUCUCUGAGACAGGACACAGGCGUAGGGACAAAGAGGACACAAAAAGGGAAAGCUGAAACGGAGGAUGGUUUGAGGUGAUUGUUCUGAGAACAGCAGCUACAGCGGUUAUCACAGGAGCAGCAGCAGGAAAGCCCAGAGAACAGGGCUCGUUCCCACCGUCUAUCCUCAUCCCCCACUUCAUCCCCCUCUUCCUCCUGCCACAGCCCCGUGUCCAAGGAGGUGGACUUCAUCUGGAAACUUCCGGAUCUUCGUGAACCGUCGCGAGACAGCCACCGAUUGGACGAUGACAGGGAGGGGACGGGGGACAGGAGGGAUAUCAUCUCAGGUGUCAUGACUGCCUUUCCCAUGGCAACCGCAGUGUUUCUGUGUUCUGCAAAGUGGGAGACAUCAGCAUCUGACCACGCCUUCCUGGAGAAGGAGUUCCGCCUCUGCCGGAGCGUCAGGUCAGUCAGGGGGCGGGGCUCGAAGGAAGGGCCGAGCGGGGAGGGGGUGUGGGGGACGCCACCUCUCCGGAGGGCAGAGUGGGAGACAGAGGGCAGGGAGGAGGGCAUCUGGACAGACACAGACCGGCCUGACCUGAAAGCACCACUGUGGGGGACGAGUGGAGUUGGGGCUUGAGAUGGAGCUACGGUUAAGGAAUGGGCUGAUGGCGAGUUUGGAAUUGAGGAUGGGGUUGGUGUUGUGGUUAGGGCUGAUAGAGAAUGGUUUGGGAUUGGGGAAUGGGCUUGGGUUGGAGAUGAGCUGGAUGCUGCCGGAAAAGCUGAGGCUGGAGGUUGGUGUGGCCACGAGGCUGGGGAUGGAGAUGGUGGUGGGGAUGGAGGUGACACUUGCUCUGAAGGUGAGGUUAAAGCUGGGCCUGGAGGUGGGUCUGUCGAUGGGUCUGCUGGUUGAUAUAGUGGUGGGACAGGCUCUUGGACAACCAAGCUUGAGGAUCCCUCUGAAAUCUUUGAGCCACCUGUUUCCCAGUGCACUGGGGGGAGGGAGGCAGAGAGAGGCUCUGCUGGGGGGAGAGAGGAGGCAGGGAGAGGCUCUGCUGGGGGGAGAGAGGAGGCAGGGAGAGGCUCUGCUGAGAAGUUAGGGUCAGAUCCUAAUAGAGGAUCUUCAGAGUACCGGUCCUGACAAACAGAUCCAGUCUCAGAGCCUUGAUUCACCACCUCAGGAACAGCAACAGGACCCAACACUGGACCUUCCAAACCAGAACUAAUCUGUACUUUCGUCUUCAUCUCUGUCUCUUUCUUCAUCUGCACCAGAGCUACCGAGUUCAUCCGAGAGCCUUCAUGUGACCCAUAACAAUCGGUGUCCUGAUCACCAACAGCCUCUGUUCCUGUCUGAACAUUGCCACUUUGUUCCGCUAUGUCCUUUUCCUCUCCUCCUAUUGGAACAGCUUCCUCUGAUUCCACAGUAAAGUGUUCUGUUUCUCUAUCUGUUUUCAUGAUAAUAAUAACGUGCCGUAACGGAGAGUCUGGCUUAUGACAAGGUGAACCGCAGGCCGAAGAGAAUCCAUCUUCCUCAGUGACAGUGUUUUCCAUUAGGCUUGGCCUGGCUCCAAAAGCAGAGUUAGUCAUCUCCAAGGCAUCAGAGAGGGAGUGGGGUGUGGGGGAAUCCUGGUGUCUGGGUGUCUCCUCUGUAGGGCUUGUUGUCUCUGGUCUGUAUAGAGGAGACUCGGGUCUUGGGUGGCACAUGGAGAGGGAAGGAGGGGAAGGGUCCAGGGAAGUGGAUGGGGGGGACGAGGGGGGUGAAGCUCCUUUUACAGUGAUCUGGCUGUCAGUGCUGCCUCCAAAUAUUCCCGACAAAGCCUUUAAACAACAACCAAACACUGUCAGUUUAAAUUAAUGAAUGACCUCUUAAAUUGUGCACCAUGAAAUAGACAGAAUAUCAAUUCAAUAUUAUAUUUUAAUAAUUUGGGCUGGUGAAGUAUAUAAAUUAGUAGCAAUAACUUAAAGUAACACGCCUAGAUUGUUGCACUUCUAGAAUGUUAUCUGUGUAACCUUCAUGAGCUCGGGUCCAGGUGAGGGAUGCUGGGUAAUGGAAGGGAUGAAGGGCUCUUCCAGGAAGCCACUGCUGUCAGACUGGCAGCUGUUAGUCCUCAUCACACACACUGCUACAUAGGGAAGGGGGAAGAGAGUAGAGGGAGGGGAGAGGGGGAGAGAAAGAAAGUUCAUGGAAAAUUACAUCACUUUAAUCAUAUCCUUCAAUCAGACUCAUCUGGAGUAUAAAGGAGAACUAUGACUCAGGGCAAUAAACAGAACUUUACCUUUGCCUGGUGAAUCAACUAAAAGUUAGGACACAAUUUGCUUAUUCUGUUAGCAGUGGAGGCUCCUCAGAGGAUGAAGGGGAGGACCAUCCUACUCAGUGAAUUUCAGAAAAACAUUUUAAAAAGUUAUCCUUUUUAGACAAAACUAUACUAAAUAUAUUCACAUCACCAAAUAACUGAUCAAAACAAACUGUUUUGCAAUAAACAGGUCUACAGUAGCCUCAACAGCACCCUCUAGGGUAGCACCAUGGUGUAACCGGAGGACAGCUAUUUUUCAUCCUCCUCUGGCACUUUGACUUCAAUACAAAACCUAGGAGGCUCAUGGUUCUCACACCCUUCCAUAUACUUACACAGUAA
rnacentral:lncRNA from 1 species